GGUAGCAGGAAGUGCUUGCACUUUGCUGACGAGUGGCGGACGGGUGAGUAAUACUUAGGAACAUGCCUUUGUGUGGGGGAUAACCAUUGGAAACGAUGGCUAAUACCGCAUAAUGUCUUUGGACCAAAGAGGGCUUUCGGGCUCUCGCGCAAAGAGUGGCCUAAGUGAGAUUAGCUUGUUGGUGAGGUAAAGGCUCACCAAGGCGACGAUCUCUAGCUGUUCUGAGAGGAAGAUCAGCCACACUGGGACUGAGACACGGCCCAGACUCCUACGGGAGGCAGCAGUGGGGAAUAUUGCACAAUGGGGGCAACCCUGAUGCAGCCAUGCCGCGUGUGUGAAGAAGGCCUUCGGGUUGUAAAGCACUUUCAGUUGUGAGGAAAGGUUGAUGGUUAAUACCCAUCAGCUGUGACGUUAGCAACAGAAGAAGGACCGGCUAACUCCGUGCCAGCAGCCGCGGUAAUACGGAGGGUCCGAGCGUUAAUCGGAAUUACUGGGCGUAAAGCGCACGCAGGCGGUUUGUUAAGCUAGAUGUGAAAGCCCUGGGCUCAACCUGGGAAUUGCAUUUAGAACUGGCAGGCUAGAGUUUUGGAGAGGGGAGUGGAAUUCCAGGUGUAGCGG
rnacentral:rRNA from 1 species